AGAAUCAACGCUGGCGGCGUGCCUCAGACAUGCAAGUCGAACACGAAAGUCCCCUUCGGGGGACAAGUAGAGUGGCGCACGGGUGAGUAACACGUAGGUAAUCUACCUUUGGAUGGGGAAUAACAACCGGAAACGGUUGCUAAUACCGCAUAAUGCAGCGGCACCUAACGGUGACAGUUGUUAAAGCGGGGGAUCGAAAGACCUCGCGUCUGAAGAGGAGCCUGCGGCGGAUUAGCUAGUUGGUAAGGUAAUGGCUUACCAAGGCUACGAUCC
rnacentral:rRNA from 1 species